AGUGAACGCUGGCGGCGUGCUUAAGACAUGCAAGUCGAACGGCAGUCUUCGGACUGUAGUGGCGCACGGGUGAGUAACGCGUAACUGACCUACCCCACAGUCGCGGAUAACGAUACGAAAGAAUCGCUAAUACGUGCUGUGCUGUCAGAUUGUGUCUUGCCCGUAAAGCUAGAUUGCUUGGGGAUGGGGUUGCUUUCCAUUAGCUAGUUGGUGGGGUAAAGGCCCACUAAGGCGACGACGAAUAGGCGGCCUGAGAGGGUGGCCGGCCAAAGGGACACAGGGAAACGGGUGCCACUCCUACGGGAGGCAGCAGUUUGGAAUCUUCCACAAUGGGCGAAAGUCUGAUUGAGCGACGCCGCGUGAGGGAUGAAGGUCUUCGGAUCUUAAACCUCUGAAUCAGGGACGAAAGACUCUUCGGUGUGAUGACGGUACCUGAGUAAUAGCACCGGCUAACUCCGUGCCAGCCGCCGCAGUAAUAC
rnacentral:rRNA from 1 species